GGUAGGUGGGGGAGAGAGAGGGAGAGGGAGGGAGAAAGGGAGGGAGGGAGGAAAGGAGGAAGGAAGGACGGAUGGAAGGAAGGAAGGAAGGAAGGAAGGAAGGAAGGAAGGAAGGAAGGAAGGAAGGGAGGGAGGGAAAUCUGAACUCAGUGCUGAACUGGGAUGAAAAUGAUCAAGAAAAGAAAUCUCUAACCAUGCCCCUUCCUCCCGGCCACACCCUGGCCUUCUCCUGACCCUCCUGAUCCUCUAGAGACAAACUCUCCCACCAGAAGGACGAGCAAUUUCCUCUGUACUUCAGAUCCUGGGCAACCAUAGCCUGUCGUUUGCAACCCAAGUGUUGGAAACUGGACUCCUUUUUAGGUAAAACAGUACCUUUAAAUUCUAAGGUUCCUUUCUCAAAGCCAAUAUUCCCACCAGCUCUUGAAGAUUCCCCAGUUCUUUUUUUUUUUUUAAUUCCUCAAAUAACGUAAUAAUACAUGGAACAUGAGACUACUUGAAAUGACAGGACAGCGCAGAGGACUGAAUGUGGAAAUCAAUGACUUUUUUCAAUAUGUAAAAUUACUGAGACAUUGUAGAACUUUGAUACCAUGCACAGAAUAUUCUUCGCUGUAAUUCAGAAAGUGGUUAGAAGUUUCAGAGCUCUUCGGUUUUGCUGUAUGUCAACACAGGGUGGACACCAUUGAAAGGUACAAUUGACCCUUAGAAGUUUAUAAACAGCAACUUUGGACUUCUGUUCCACUUGGAAUUUGAAAUCUGUGGUCUGGAGCAAUAAUUUUAACCUGGGAAGCUUACUUGUCUUACACAGCACAGAACAGGGUUUGUUUCAUACAAACACUGUCAAGAACCCUAAGGAAACGAAGUUCUGAAGUCCAGCUGGAGGCAGGUGAAAGUCUUCUUGUCUCUGCUUGGAAGUCUAACAGCACAAUCCAAGAUUGCCACAGGUUUUGUAAGCUGUUUAUCUUACAUUUGUUUAACAUCAAAAUCAUAAAGGUCCUAUCUUAAUGACACAUACAAAUCUAACAAAACACUUUUCCGGUUCUCAUUAUUGUAUCUUUGGAUGACUUCUUUUCCUUGGGUGUCUUUUAAGUCCCCAACAUUAAAAGGAGCAAAUUUCUAGCAAAAUGAAAUUCAUGUGUAUCUGAACUCCAACAACACCAUCUAUGAGAAGACCUUACAAUUUAAAUAGGAAUUGAGAUCACAGCAUAUUUCAACUAAUAAUGCUUAACUGUGCAUCAGUUUAGCUUAAAAUGGCAAAGUAGAGCCCAGUCUUAUAAAAAUAUAACUACAAUGACUAUAAUGAAUUUGUCAUGGUAAUUUUUCCUUCUUGAUUUAAUUUUUUUUCCCUUGAUUUCUUUCCUGGUUUCUGAGUUAAAUCUUCUAACAGUAAUAUAUCAAACUCAAACUACUUUGCAACAGACAUGAAUCAGCAUCUUUGUUCCACAUGAUCCAAUGACCAAAAUGACCAGCUCCAUGAAGACUUCAGAGUGAUUUAUUCCCUACCUAAUUAGCUCAUCAGUUGACCAGCACUCUCUAUAUGAAAUGUCCCUUUGCAAAAUAUUGGUAUCCCAAUGCUCACUAUUUAAAUGCUUUCUUUCUUCUUCUUCUUCUUUUUUUUUUUUUUCAUUUUGAGGCAGAGUCUCACUCUGUCGCCCAGGCUGGAAUGCAGUGGCAUGAUCUUGGCUCACUGUGACCUCUGCCUCCUGGGUUCAAGCGAUUCUCCUGCCUCAGUCUCCUGAGUAGCUGGGAUUACAGGUUUGUGCCACCACGCCUGGCUAAUUUUUGUAUUUUUAGUAGAGACGGGCUUUCACCAUGUUGGCCGGGCUGGUCUUGAACUCCUGAUACCAAGUGAUCUGCCCGCCUCAGCCUCCCAAAAUGUGGUGAUUACAGGCAUGAACCACCACAUACGGCUCUAUUUAAAUGCUUUCUGAAAGUAGAUUCAAAUAAACACAAUUUCCAAAUCCACAGGGACAAAGCAGUAAGGGAAACUCAGCUAUGAUCAAUUCUUAUGCCUGUCCAUUCACCUUCCAUAGUAGCACUACCUGGGAAGAAUGAAUGUGUGUCAGGCAAGGUGAGAUGAAUAUCUACCCAACAUUAACUUCCCACGAUUCCACUCCUACGUAAGAGGCAGGUAUAUUCUGUUUUUCUUCCACACAUGCUUUCUGUGGCAUACUAACCAUCAACUAUAUGCUUUACCCACUGUUUUCCAAAUUUAAAACCUUGGAAAAAAUGUCCAAGUUUUAUAACACUAAGAAGUUUAUAAGAAUCCAAAUAUCGUUUUUAUUUUGGUUCUUGUGUGUAGACCAGAAUAUUCUGCAAUGCAGUCCACUGUAAUUUACAGUGCUAUCUGGAGUUGGCAUAAGCUUAAAGGAAAAGAGCCCCAGAUUUAAAAAAUGCAGCAGAGAAAAGCCCAUCUUAAGACAAUACUGACUUCCUCCAAAUUAAGAAAAGAAAUUCCCUACUGUGAUGGUUACUACUGAGUGUCAACUUGAUUGAAGGAUACAAAGUAUUGGUCCUGGGUGUGUCUGUGAGGGUGUUGCCAAAAGAGAUUAACAUUUGAGUCAGUGGGCUGGGAAAUGCAGACCCACCCUUAAUCUGGGUGGGCACAAUCUAAUCAGCUGCCAGCGCAGCUAGGAUACAAGCAGGCAGAAAAAUGUGAAAAGAGAGACUGGCCUAGCCUCCUAGCCUCCAUCUUUCUCCCGUGCUGGAUGCUUCCUGCCCUCGAACAUUAGGCUCCAAGUUCUUCAGUUUUGGAACUCGGACUGGCUCUCCUUGCUCCUCAGACUGCAGAUGGCCUAUUGUGGGACCUUAUGAUCAUAUGACAACAACAAAACUACCUGCAAGUCUCACUUCAUGGAACACAACAGAAACUCUGCAUAAGAAAAAAGGAAAUCCACAAAGCUUGUAGAAUGCCAGGGUCUCUCACUAUUGUCCAGGAUGAAGUGCAGUGGUGUGAUCAUAACUCACUGCAGCCUUGAACUCCUGGGCUCAAUGGAUCCUCUCACCUCGGCCUCCCAAAGUGCUGGGACUACAGGCGUGAGCCACCGUGCCUGUCUGAUUCUACCCUUUUCACUGUGAGUUUCUUGCAUCAAGAGGGCUUUGUGUUUCCCAGAGGCCCAGCACACAGGGUGCCUGGGGGUUGGCUCCACAGACAGGGAUGGCUGCCAUCUGUGCCACCAGACACCCACGCAGUACAAUCAACCCUCUUCUUGGCCACCAUCUGCCAACGCAGGGCCCAGCUGGACAACUUCUGGUUUGGUUUAAACUAGGAGAAUGUCAGGAACUAUUUCCCACCCUUGGCAUUAGAAUGAAGAACGACCGCUGCAAACUGGUUUGAUUCAAAGUCAACGAGAGACUUACCCAUGGCUGCUCCCGCUGAAAUCUGCUGCCAGAUGGUGUUGUGCUAUUCAGGUAAUUAGACAGACACCCAGAAAAAUUACAAUGUGAAUAUCUUCUGAACGAAAAGUAAUCAAAUAUUAAAGUGUAAUUUCAAAAAAACCUCACAAGCUCACAUUGAGACUUUCUUCUAGAACGACAAUCUAAAUACAGAUUCACUGAGAAAAGGGAAAAACACAGCAGGUAUCCACACACACACAAAAGCACAGUGUACCCCUUCAUUAUUUGGGUGCCAAAGUCCAUUUUAAGGAGGCUGUCAAGAGCUUCCAGUUACUAGUGGCAUUCAACACACAGUCACAACAAAGUCCCUACACAUCUGAUCCAGCAGGGCGCUAAACUGCGUAAACCC